rnacentral:rRNA from 1 species
CCCUUAGAUGUUCUGGGCCGCACGCGCGCUACACUGACGAAUGCAACGAGCUUAUAACCUUGGCCGAAAGGUCUGGGUAAUCUCCAAAUUUCGUCGUGAUGGGGAUAGAUUAUUGCAAUUAUUAAUCUUCAACGAGGAAUGCCUAGUAAGCGCAAGUCAUCAGCUUGCGUUGAUUACGUCCCUGCCCUUUGUACACACCGCCCGUCGCUACUACCGAUUGGAUGGCUUAGUGAGACCUUUGGACUGGACCGCCUUCCGGGGGUUUCGGCCCCUUUUGGCGAGGCUGGGAAGAAGGUCGAACUGGACUGUCUAGAGGAAGUAAAAGUCGUAACA